GAAUGUGAUUAGAUUUAGAAGUCUAAAUUUAAACUGUUAAAAAUAUAUAGAGCAAUCGUGUCUCUUUAGAGGACUAGGAGGAAACCACGCGAUUCAUAUGGAUUAGGUGGUAUUUUUUGUGAUUAACUUUUUGAAACGUAGCGUUAUGGCAAAGAGUGUUGAUUUUACCCAGCUUCUUCAAGUUUGCAUGGCGUGUGACAUUUUGAACCUCAUUAUGUUGUGAUUCUAGUUCAGCUACAUUCAAUUUGACCAAUCAGAGCCAAGCUUUUCAAGUCUACGUCGAUGCAGACUCGAAGAGAUGAAGAUACUGCCUCAGAAGUUACUGGUAACUGCUAUAGAAGAAAAACUGAAAUCUGAGUGCAGAGACAAGCGAAGAAG